GUCCACGCCGUAAACUAUGGACACUAGGUGUGGGGGUAUCGACCCCCUCCGUGCCGAAGCUAACGCAGUAAGUGUCCCGCCUGGGGAGUACGGCCGCAAGGGCUAAAACUCAAAGGAAUUGACGGGGGCCCGCACAAGCAGCGGAGCGUGCGGUUUAAUUCGUCGCAACGCGAAGAACCUUACCAAGGCUUGACAUGCUAGUGGUACCAAAUCGAAAGAUGCGGGACCCUUCGGGGAGCUAGCACAGGUGCUGCAUGGCUGUCGU
rnacentral:rRNA from 1 species